GGUUAAGCGACUAAGCGUACACGGUGGAUGCCCUGGCAGUCAGAGGCGAUGAAGGGCGUGCUAAUCUGCGAUAAGCGCCGGUAAGGUGAUAUGAACCGUUAUAACCGGCGAUACCCGAAUGGGGAAACCCAGUGUGAUUCGUCACACUAUCAUUAACUGAAUCCAUAGGUUAAUGAGGCGAACCGGGGGAACUGAAACAUCUAAGUACCCCGAGGAAAAGAAAUCAACCGAGAUUCCCCCAGUAGCGGCGAGCGAACGGGGAGGAGCCCAGAGCCUGAAUCAGCAUGUGUGUUAGUGGAAGCGUCUGGAAAGGCGCGCGAUACAGGGUGACAGCCCCGUACACAAAAGCGCAUGUGCUGUGAGCUCGAUGAGUAGGGCGGGACACGUGGUAUCCUGUCUGAAUAUGGGGGGACCAUCCUCCAAGGCUAAAUACUCCUGACUGACCGAUAGUGAACCAGUACCGUGAGGGAAAGGCGAAAAGAACCCCGGCGAGGGGAGUGAAAAAGAACCUGAAACCGUGUACGUACAAGCAGUGGGAGCACAGGUUUACCUGUGUGACUGCGUACCUUUUGUAUAAUGGGUCAGCGACUUAUAUUCUGUAGCAAGGUUAACCGAAUAGGGGAGCCGGAGGGAAACCGAGUCUUAAUUGGGCGUUAAGUUGCAGGGUAUAGACCCGAAACCCGGUGAUCUAGCCAUGGGCAGGUUGAAGGUUGGGUAACACUAACUGGAGGACCGAACCGACUAAUGUUGAAAAAAUUAGCGGAUGACCUGUGGCUGGGGGUGAAAGGCCAAUCAAACCGGGAGAUAGCUGGUUCUCCCCGAAAGCUAUUUAGGUAGCGCCUCGUGAAUUCAUCUCCGGGGGUAGAGCACUGUUUCGGCUAGGGGGCCAUCCCGGCUUACCAACCCGAUGCAAACUGCGAAUACCGGAGAAUGUUAUCACGGGAGACACACGGCGGGUGCUAACGUCCGUCGUGAAGAGGGAAACAACCCAGACCGCCAGCUAAGGUCCCAAAGUCAUGGUUAAGUGGGAAACGAUGUGGGAAGGCCCAGACAGCCAGGAUGUUGGCUUAGAAGCAGCCAUCAUUUAAAGAAAGCGUAAUAGCUCACUGGUCGAGUCGGCCUGCGCGGAAGAUGUAACGGGGCUAAACCAUGCACCGAAGCUGCGGCAGCGACACUGUGUGUUGUUGGGUAGGGGAGCGUUCUGUAAGCCUGUGAAGGUGGCCUGUGAGGGUUGCUGGAGGUAUCAGAAGUGCGAAUGCUGACAUAAGUAACGAUAAAGCGGGUGAAAAGCCCGCUCGCCGGAAGACCAAGGGUUCCUGUCCAACGUUAAUCGGGGCAGGGGUGAGUCGACCCCUAAGGCGAGGCCGAAAGGCGUAGUCGAUGGGAAACGGGUUAAUAUUCCCGUACUUGGUGUUACUGCGAAGGGGGGACGGAGAAGGCUAUGUUGGCCGGGCGACGGUUGUCCCGGUUUAAGCGUGUAGGUGUGUGUUCCAGGUAAAUCCGGUUCACUUUAACACUGAGGCGUGACGACGAGGCACUACGGUGCUGAAGCAACAAAUGCCCUGCUUCCAGGAAAAGCCUCUAAGCAUCAGGUAACAUCAAAUCGUACCCCAAACCGACACAGGUGGUCAGGUAGAGAAUACCAAGGCGCUUGAGAGAACUCGGGUGAAGGAACUAGGCAAAAUGGUGCCGUAACUUCGGGAGAAGGCACGCUGACACGUAGGUGAAGUGAUUUACUCACGGAGCUGAAGUCAGUCGAAGAUACCAGCUGGCUGCAACUGUUUAUUAAAAACACAGCACUGUGCAAACACGAAAGUGGACGUAUACGGUGUGACGCCUGCCCGGUGCCGGAAGGUUAAUUGAUGGGGUCAGCGCAAGCGAAGCUCCUGAUCGAAGCCCCGGUAAACGGCGGCCGUAACUAUAACGGUCCUAAGGUAGCGAAAUUCCUUGUCGGGUAAGUUCCGACCUGCACGAAUGGCGUAAUGAUGGCGGUGCUGUCUCCACCCGAGACUCAGUGAAAUUGAACUCGCUGUGAAGAUGCAGUGUACCCGCGGCAAGACGGAAAGACCCCGUGAACCUUUACUAUAGCUUGACACUGAACAUUGAGCCUUGAUGUGUAGGAUAGGUGGGAGGCUUUGAAGUGUGGACGCCAGUCUGCAUGGAGCCGACCUUGAAAUACCACCCUUUAAUGUUUGAUGUUCUAACGUGGACCCGUAAUCCGGGUUGCGGACAGUGUCUGGUGGGUAGUUUGACUGGGGCGGUCUCCUCCUAAAGAGUAACGGAGGAGCACGAAGGUUGGCUAAUCCUGGUCGGACAUCAGGAGGUUAGUGCAAUGGCAUAAGCCAGCUUGACUGCGAGCGUGACGGCGCGAGCAGGUGCGAAAGCAGGUCAUAGUGAUCCGGUGGUUCUGAAUGGAAGGGCCAUCGCUCAACGGAUAAAAGGUACUCCGGGGAUAACAGGCUGAUACCGCCCAAGAGUUCAUAUCGACGGCGGUGUUUGGCACCUCGAUGUCGGCUCAUCACAUCCUGGGGCUGAAGUAGGUCCCAAGGGUAUGGCUGUUCGCCAUUUAAAGUGGUACGCGAGCUGGGUUUAGAACGUCGUGAGACAGUUCGGUCCCUAUCUGCCGUGGGCGCUGGAGAACUGAGGGGGGCUGCUCCUAGUACGAGAGGACCGGAGUGGACGCAUCACUGGUGUUCGGGUUGUCAUGCCAAUGGCACUGCCCGGUAGCUAAAUGCGGAAGAGAUAAGUGCUGAAAGCAUCUAAGCACGAAACUUGCCCCGAGAUGAGUUCUCCCUGAGACUUUAAGUCUCCUGAAGGAACGUUGAAGACGACGACGUUGAUAGGCCGGGUGUGUAAGCGCAGCGAUGCGUUGAGCUAACCGGUACUAAUGAACCGUGAGGCUUAACCUU
rnacentral:rRNA from 1 species